rnacentral:misc_RNA from 1 species
UGUCAUUACCUUCUCUUUUAGAUUAGAAAUCAUGAAUGGCUUCAUCACAAACUUCUUUUAAAUUAGAAAUCAUGAAUGGCUUCACCACAAACUUCAUACUGAUGAUUAUUUUAUUGAAUAUUUUAUGUAAAAUGAAUACUUUAGUUGCUGGCACUGCUGGAGAGACACCAGUUUUUGACAGUGCAGAAGAUACAAGGAAUGAUGCUGCUGGAGGGAUGACACCAGUUUUAGACAGAGCAGAAGAUACAAGGAAUGAUGCUUCUGUAGAGAUGACACCAGUUUUUGACAUUGCAGGAGAUACAAAGAAUGAUGACAUUGCAAAAGAUUCUGAAAAUGAAUCAGAUGGAGAGCGUGCUGUCAUAGAAAGUCAACUUGAAGUAAGCAAGCUUAGAGUAAAAAGACAAUUUGAAUAUAAAAUUCCUCCAGAUUUUGUUAGAUUGUCAACUUGGGAAUUAGGAACGCAAGGAGCUCAGGGAGACACUGGAUUAUCAGGAGAAAAAGGGUUACAAGGAGCCAAGGGUUCAAAGGGGUAUAAAGGAAUGCAAGGAUAUAGAGGACAUCCUGGCAAAACUGGUGAAAAAGGCCAAUUUGGUGAAUCAGGGUCUAUUGGUCCAGCUGGAAAAAGAGGAAUUACUGGUGAAAAAGGAGAAGAAGGACCUGUUGGACCAAUGGGUCAUAUUGGAAGACAAGGCCCAAUUGGAAUUGUUGGGAAACCUGGACAACAAGGCCCACCUGGAGAACAAGGUUAUGUUGGUCCAAAAGGAGAAAAGGGUUAUCCAGGAGAUCCAGGAAUUGUUGGAGCAGUAGGUGAAGAUGGUCCACCAGGUUUGAUGGGAAAGACUGGACCACCUGGUCGUAUGGGUGAACCUGGAGAUCAUGGGUACCCAGGUCCUCCAGGUGCUUUUGGCGAACAAGGACAAGAGGGCAUAGCAGGUGAUCAUGGCCCACCUGGUAAUAAAGGAGACAAAGGUGUUGAUGGAGCCAUCGGACGAACAGGAGUGGUUGGAAUAAAAGGAGAAAGGGGUGUUCCUGGAAUAAAAGGUAACAUUGGAGAGAGAGGACCAAAAGGUAAAAAAGGUAUGAAUGGUAUGCCAGGUCCAGUUGGUGUUCCAGGAAUUCCUGGUUACAAGGGUUUUCCAGGAAUGUUUGGUGAGGAAGGUACUCCGGGUACUACUGGAAAAAAGGGUGAAAAAGGUUUACAAGGUGGGAAAGGUAUUGCUGGCAGUAAAGGGGAAAAGGGUUCUCAUGGUGAUUUUGGAAAUAAAGGUUUACCUGGAAUUAAGGGUUCAAAAGGGUACCCUGGUGAAGUUGGAGAUUCUGGAAUGGAAGGUCAAGUGGGUGCUAAAGGCAAAAAGGGGGACAUAGGAAUUCCAGGUGAAAAGGGAGAUAGAGGGGAUGAAGGGCAAAAAGGAUUUCAUGGUGAAAAUGGGAACAAGGGUAAACGAGGAGUUAUUGGAUCUCCUGGUAACAUUGGUUUGAAAGGACCUCAAGGACAGAUUGGAUUACCAGGAAAUAUUGGCCAAUCAGGUCUGGUUGGCCUCAAGGGUGUCAAAGGAGAAGUUGGUGCAACUGGUGAAAAUGGUAAUCAGGGACCAGAAGGUAAAAAAGGCCCAUCAGGAAAAACUGGGAAAAAAGGAAGAGAUGGUCCAAAGGGAGAUAAAGGUAUAUCUGGAAGUGAUGGAGAACCUGGAGAGUUGGGCCAAGUUGGUGAUGAUGGUGAUCCUGGAGAGCCAGGUGCUAUGGGAUUACCGGGAAUAAAAGGUGAGCAAGGAAACAUUGGUCCUGAAGGUAUUAUGGGAUUUGCUGGGAUACCAGGUGACAUUGGUGCUGUUGGUCUAGAAGGAAUUCAAGGACCUCCAGGAUUGCAAGGAAUAAUUGGACAAGAUGGAGAUGUUGGAUUACCAGGAGAUAAAGGAAGACGAGGAGAUAAAGGAAAAAAAGGCAUAAGGGGAAAACAGGGAGAUAUUGGUUUACCUGGUGAAAUUGGUAGUAUAGGGCAUCCUGGUGAAAAAGGUGUUGCUGGUGAACCAGGUGAUCAAGGUACUCCAGGCAAAAAAGGAAGAAUGGGUAACAUAGGAAAACCUGGUCCUGAUGGUCCUCAAGGACUUGUUGGGUUUCCAGGGAAAAAAGGUAAAUCUGGAAAAAAAGGUUUUCCUGGCCAACCAGGGCAGAAUGGUUUGCAAGGGGUUAGUGGUAUAAAUGGAAUUCCUGGUGCAAAAGGCAUUCAAGGUACAACUGGGGCACCUGGUCUACCAGGUUUAAGUCCAUCAGGAAGAAAGGGAGAAAAAGGUGAUCAAGGUUUAACAGGCUCAAAAGGAGUGCCUGGUCGAAAGGGUGAUUUUGGAGAUAGUCCAAGAGGUACCAAAGGAGUUGCUGGACUUGUGGGAAUCCGUGGAGAUAGCGGGUCAUCAGGAGAAAAAGGAGAUAUGGGUGCUAAGGGCCAAAAGGGUGACAAAGGCAAUAAUGGUGAAAUUGGUGAUAAAGGAACUGAUGGUCUGCCUGGAGAUAUUGGUAUCCCUGGGAGUAAUGGAAAAACUGGAGAACAAGGAAAAAUGGGUGAAAGUGGAAAAAAAGGUCAAAAAGGAAAUCCAGGGGAAACGGGACUUUUUGGAAUACCUGGUAAAGAUGGAAUUGAUGGACAAAUGGGUGAAGAUGGUCCUGAUGGAUCUAAAGGAGUCAAAGGAGAAAUUGGAAUGCCUGGUUUAGAUGGCCAACCUGGUAAACAAGGUUUACCUGGAAAUAAUGGUUUACCUGGUAUAAAGGGUCCUGUAGGAGAAAUGGGACCACCUGGUUUGCAAGGUGGUAUUGGACCUAUGGGAGAGGAAGGUCCACCUGGUUUUGCAGAUGGUAUUGAAAUAUCUGAUACAAUGGAUAAGAUUAGUUUUACUGGAACUCGAUCUGGUAAUGUUGGUGUGAAAGGCUCCCAGGGAGAUGAUGGUGAACCUGGAUUAAUUGGACCUCCUGGAUAUACUGGCUUAGAAGGAGACCCAGGUGAACCAGGACCACAGGGUCCUAUGGGAGAAAAUGGAAAUCAGGGCUUACAAGGUGAAAAUGGAGAAAAAGGUGACGAGGGAGAUGAAGGUUUUCAAGGUGAAAUCGGAAAUCCCGGAGAACCUGGUUUACCAUUUAUUUUGAUUCGAUUUUUUGCUAGGGACUUCCUGGUAUUCCUCCUAUUGAAAGUUUUAUUCCCAGAAGUGCGUGGAAUGAAUACAAUAAAUAAGUAUGAUAAUAUAUUUAGCCCAGAAGUGUGUGGAAUGAAUACAAUAAAUAAGUAUGAUAAUAUAUUUAGCCCAGAAGUGCGUGGAAUGAAUACAAUAAAUAAGUAUGAUAAUAUAUUUAGCCCAGAAGUGCGUGGAAUGAAUACAAUAAAGAUCCUGCUCGGUACUAUCACAUAGUUGCUGAUCAGUAUUUAACAUACUUGGGCAACGAAAUUGAAAGUAUUAAACAUCCUCAUGGAACACAGGGAAACCCAGCAACAAAUUGUAAAGAAAUUUAUGAUAACGGAGGAAAGUUUCUCGAUGGUUACUAUUGGGUGGAUCC